CGGUCAAUUCAAUGUUGUUCGGCCUUCUAAGCCGACGGUCGGGGGUUCGAAUCCCUCUGGGCAGGCCA
rnacentral:tRNA from 2 species